rnacentral:rRNA from 1 species
UUCAUAUUUCAGCGUCAGAGGUGAAAUUCUUGGAUCGCUGAAAGAUGAGCUUAGGCGA